UCUGGUGGCGAUAGCGAAGAGGUCACACCCGUUCCCAUACCGAACACGGAAGUUAAGCUCUUUAGCGCCAAUGGUAGUUGGGAAUUUGUCCCUGUGAGAGUAGGACGUUGCCAGGC
rnacentral:rRNA from 1 species